AAUCCCAUGGGAUUUUUUUUGGUCCCAUGGGAUAAUUGUAGUCCCAUGGGACAAAAAAAAUCCCAUGGGAUU
rnacentral:sRNA from 1 species